GGGGAGGAUUGAUUUAUGUCCCUUUUACAACUAGUGAUCUUUACAAUUGGAAACAUCAAAAUCCCCCCCCUUCUCUGAAAAACCUCAGGCAUUAAUCCCUUCUUGAGUCUGUUUUUCAUACCCAUCAACCAACCUGGGAUGAUUGCCAGCAGCUUUUACAGAUCCUGUUCACCAUUGAGGAGCGAGACCGCAUUUAUCAACAGACAGUCAAAGAGGCCCUGGGGCCAAACCUCGGCAUCACUCCCAGAACUCCAGAGCAUUCAGCCAAGGCUGAAACAGUAGUUCUGUCAUGAUACCUCGAAUGGGACCCCAAUGAUGAUGACAGUAAAGGGAGGCUGGGGAACUACUGCCAGCACUUAUUAGGGGGACUCCAGGAAGUGGCCAGAAAGUCCACUAAUUUCAGUAAGGUAAGUGAGGUUCACCAGGGAAAAACAGAGUCUCCAGCUGCAUUUUUAGAGAGACUCUUGAAAGUCUAUUGACCCAGAGGCUCCCAAAAAUGCAGCAGCUUUAAAUUUGGUCUUUGUUUCCCAGUCAGCCCCAGAUAUUAGAAAAAAAAAUUACAGAAAUUGGAGGGAUUUGAGGGAAAGAAUAGGACUAAACUCCUGAACAUAGCCCAGAAAGUUUAUGAUAACUAUGACGGCCCUGAGGAAAUCCUAGCCAAAAAACUGGAGAAAGUCAUUAUUGCUGCACUCUAGGCACAAGAGACAGUCCCUCUGGACAGAAAAGGAGAAAGCACCUUUUUGGCUUUAAAAAAAGCCUUAGUGUCAGCACCAGCCCUGGCUGUACCUGAUGUCACCAAGCCCUUUUGGUUGUUUGUGGCUGAACAAGGGGACAUACCAAAAGGAGUGCUAGCUCAGGCAUUAGGGCCUUGAAACAGACCUGUGGCCUACCUGUCUAGAAGACUUGAUCCUGUGGCAACUGGGUGGUCUACCUGUUUGAGGGCAGUUGCAGCAACCACCCUCCUGGUCCAGGAGGCAGAUAAGCUCAGCCUGGAACAGGACAUGGUCAUCACCACACCCCAUGCGGUGGAGACAUUGCUGAGAGGAUCCCCAGAAUGAUGGCUCUCCAACGCCUGCCUGACUGAGUACCAGGCCCUGUUGCUGGAUGCUCCACAUGUCAAAUUCACCUGAGAAAUGACCCUCAAUCCAGCCACCAUACUCCUGGACUCCGACUCAUACGCAUGCCUCUCCAUGACUGUCUGGACACUCUGACAACUUCCACCACCAACCACCCAGACCUGACUGAUGUUCCCCUGCAAAGCCCAGAUGAGACCUUCUUCACCAAUGGGAACAGCUUCGUGGAAGACAGAGUCAGGUAUGUGGGGAAACUGUUGGCCUCAAAGGUGUAUGAAACAUGUCUGUCUUCCCCCAGUGGAGGCUCCAGUCUGAUGCUUGGCUUGGGUCCUGACUGAUAAUAAACUCCUGUGUGGAUUUAAUAUCGGUCUCUGGUUGGUUCAUUCUCACUGGGUGCAACAGGGG
rnacentral:lncRNA from 1 species